rnacentral:rRNA from 1 species
UAAUACGGAGGAUCCGAGCGUUAUCCGGAUUUAUUGGGUUUAAAGGGUGCGCAGGCGGGAUGUUAAGUCGGCGGUGAAAUUUUGCAGCUCAACUGUAAAAGUGCCUUCGAUACUGGCUUUCUUGAGUGUGGAUGAAGUAGGCGGAAUUUGUGGUGUAGCGGUGAAAUGCUUAGAUAUCACGAGGAACUCCGAUUGCGCAGGCAGCUUACUAAACCACUACUGACGCUCAUGCACGAAGGCGUGGGGAUCAAACAGG